rnacentral:lncRNA from 1 species
AAAUUGGGGCGUAUCUGUGGCCCCGCAGAAGCGAUGGUCUUGGGCGCAGAAGCGAGAUGGAGCACAGACGCGCGUUUGACUUCGCGCAUGCGGUUGCGCAGAAGCGGAUGGAGACCCGCAGGUGCGAGGGGUCGACUGGCUAGUGGAGUCGCAGAAGCGAAGCUCGUGUCACAGAAGCAGCUCUUGUGUCCGCAGAAGCGGAAAUGACUGGGCAUAAGCUUUAAAUCGAGGGUUUGGUUGUUUUGUUCAUAUUUUGAGAUGUGGGACUCAGAUUGAGGCAAUUUUGGAGGCAAAUUUCAUCACAAGGAUUGGGGUAAGUAUUUUAAACUCGGUUUUGAUUAUAUUUCGAGAUUUUAUCUCCAUAUUUGGAAAUUGGAUUAUGAGUUUUAAAGAAAACAUUAGGGGGUUUUGUCUAAAACUUCAUAAAGUGAAUUUUUGGAGUUUUAAACGUCGAUUCAGAGUCGGAUUUGAGUAAAACUAGUAUGGUUGAACUCAUAAUUGAAUGAGUUAUCGGAUUUUAUAAGUUUCAUCGGGUUUCGAGGUGCGAGUCCAGAUUGGAUUUUGGGUCGAUUUCAGGUUUUUGAUUAAGAUUCGACCUUUAUCAUUUGGAAUUGUUUCCUUGGGAUUUAUUUGAUGUAUUUGAGUUGCCUUUGGCUAAUUUUGAGACGUUCGAAGGUUGGUACACGUGGGAUGGCAUUGAGGAGCAUUGUUUAGCUUGCUCGGUAUUGAAUUUGGCUUGUUCGAGGUAAGUAACACUUCUAAACUUAGUGCUGAGGGUAUGAAACCCCGAAUUUCGUAUUAUGUGUUUGCUGUUGAGGUGAUUCACAUGCUAGGUGACGGGCGUGUGGGCGUGCACUAUGUAAAUCGUGACUCCGUUAUUUUUGUGGUACUGUGUAGUUACAUGAGCUUACCUAUAACCAUAAAAUCUUUACGUACUAGAGCUAUUGAGUCGUGAUCUAUGUUAGAAACCAUGACUAGGCUACAUGCUUAUUCUUUUGGGACCCACUGGGGUCAUUACUGUUGUUGAGUUAUUUGCUUACAUUGCAGUUUCAUACUCAGUCAUGUUCAUUCAUUGCAUAU